UACGUAGGGGGCUAGCGUUGUCCGGAAUCAUUGGGCGUAAAGCGCGCGUAGGCGGUCAGGUAAGUCCGGUGUGAAAGUCAAAGGCUCAACCUUUGAAUGCCGCUGGAUACUGCCUGACUUGAGUCCGGAAGGGGCGAGUGGAAUUCCUGGUGUAGCGGUGAAAUGCGCAGAUAUCAGGAGGAACACCAAUGGCGAAGGCAGCUCGCUGGAACGGUACUGACGCUGAGGCGCGAAAAGCGUGGGGAGCGAACAGG
rnacentral:rRNA from 1 species